UACGUAGGGUGCGAGCGUUGUCCGGAAUUAUUGGGCGUAAAGAGCUCGUAGGCGGUGUGUCGCGUCGGCCGUGAAAACCUGCAGCUUAACUGUGGGCUUGCGGUCGAUACGGGCAUCACUGGAGUUCGGCAGGGGAGACUGGAAUUCCUGGGGUAGCGGUGAAAUGCGCAGAUAUCAGGAGGAACACCGGUGGCGAAGGCGGGUCUCUGGGCCGAUACUGACGCUGAGGAGCGAAAGCGUGGGGAGCGAACAGG
rnacentral:rRNA from 1 species